CCUACGGGAGGCUGCAGUGGGGAAUAUUGCACAAUGGGCGCAAGCCUGAUGCAGCCAUGCCGCGUGUGUGAAGAAGGCCUUCGGGUUGUAAAGCACUUUCAGCGGGGAGGAAGGCGGUGAGGUUAAUAACCUCAUCGAUUGACGUUACCCGCAGAAGAAGCACCGGCUAACUCCGUGCCAGCAGCCGCGGUAAUACGGAGGGUGCAAGCGUUAAUCGGAAUUACUGGGCGUAAAGCGCACGCAGGCGGUCUGUCAAGUCGGAUGUGAAAUCCCCGGGCUCAACCUGGGAACUGCAUUCGAAACUGGCAGGCGAGAGUCUUGUAGAGGGGGGUAGAAUUCCGGGUGUAGCGGUGAAAUGCGUAGAGAUCUGGAGGAAUACCGGUGGCGAAGGCGGCCCCCUGGACAAAGACUGACGCUCAGGUGCGAAAGCGUGGGGAGCAAACAGGAUUAGAUACCCUAGUAGUC
rnacentral:rRNA from 1 species